AUUGAACGCUGGCGGCAGGCUUAACACAUGCAAGUCGAACGAGUGGCGGACGGGUGAGUAAUGCUUGGGAAUCUAGCUUAUGGAGGGGGAUACCUCCGGGAAACUGUAGCUAAUACCGCGUACCAUAGGAUGAGCCCAAGUGGUAUUAGGUAGUUUGUGAGGUAAAGGCUCACCAAGCCGAAGAUCUCUCGCGGGUCUGAGAGGAUGAACAGCCACGUUGGGACUGGGACACGGCCCAGACCCCUACGGGAGGCAGCAGGGGGGAAUAUUGCGCAAUGGGGGCAACCUGACGCAGCCAUGCCGGGUGAAUGAAGAAGGCCUUCGGGUUGAAAAGUUCUUUCGGUAGCGAGGCGUUAACUACAGAAGAAGCAACGGCUAACUCCGUGCCAGCAGCCGCGGUAAUAC
rnacentral:rRNA from 1 species